GGAUAACGGAAGAGGGCGUCGGCUCGACUUCGUCGGUUCCUCGGGCCGAGGCACGUACGGUGAAUAGGGACGGUCGGGGCCGCCCGUACCGGGUCGUGAGAGGUGAAAUUCUAGGAUCGACCCGAGACGAACUGCCGCGAAAGCAUUCGGCAAGGACGCUUUCAUUAAUCAAGAACGAAAGUCGGGGGAUCGAAGACGAUCAGAUACCGUCGUAGUCCCGACCGUAAACGAUGCCGACCGAGGGCCCGGAGGAGUUACGUACGACCCUCCGGGCCCUCCCGCGAGAAAUCAGGAGUAUUCGGGUUCCGGGGGAGUAUGGUCGCAAGGCCGAAACUUAAAGGAAUUGACGGAAGGGCACCACCAGGAGUGGAAUCUGCGGCUUAAUUUGACCCAACGCGGGAAAAACUCACCAGGUCAGGACACGGUAAGGAUUGACGGACUGAAGGCUCUUUCUCGAUUCCGUGG
rnacentral:rRNA from 1 species